UAUCAAGUCUGAAGCAGGGAAGGUUCAAGGCAUUGAGUGACUUGCACCGUGGGACGACUUGGUAGUUUCUUCAAGAACAGCAUCUAUUUGCCUCAAAAACUCCUUACCUCUAGUUUUGUGUAUUUUGUGGUUAGGACUAAAUUCUCUUCUGAAGAGAAUUAUCUUUGUGUACAAAGAAAGAAUUGCUUUUCUUAGCAACUAUAAGUACCCUAGUAAACACCCUGAUUCAGAUUAAAGGCUCAAAGCACUUUCCUCAGAACAUGCCUUAUUUCCCUUAUUUUAGCUGCAUGCUGCUAGAAGCACGAGGUGGUCUUAUACACUCUGGAUGAGCAUACCCAGAAUGGCUUUGGCCUGAAAGAAAUGGAAUAAUCUUUAUUUUCCUCUCUUCCUUGGCUGUCAUAGUUACUCUUUCCACAUCAAUUCCCUCUGUUGGAUCAGGACUACUGUGGUUCUAUGGACACGCCUCUGGCCCUUCCAACCCGGUGUGUGGGUGGGCCUUAUGGAGGACUGCUGCUCAAGAGCACAGUUAGGAGCCAGAGCACUCACACAUCCUUGGAUCAUCAGCCCCAGCCACAUCAAGCAAAAGUUCUGUCGCAGGAAUGGAAGUGAGCAGUGGAUCUGCUGAUCCUGGAACAUCUGGUUUGCCCAGCCCUGCUCACCACUGACAACAAAGUACUUCUCAAUACUCUGCAGCAAACUAAAGACUAAAAGACCAAAGUUCAGUCUGUAAGAAGAGACCUACCGGCUGUCUCUUACUGGAAAAUUUAACCAUCUUGAAAAAUCAGGCUUCUGCAUCUUGGAGGAGGAAUUUAGAUAAGGAAGUCUGAUGCAGUAUGUAAACAGGAACUCCAUGGGAACAGCCUUUUCUCAAAUGCUUUUCAAAAUCCCCCCUCUGGAAACCUCAGUGUUGCAUGUGAAUUUCAGUUCCACCUUUGGAAACAUUUCAGCAUUUAACAUUUCUCCUUCAGUCAGAGAUCUUCUUCUGAUGCACCAUGCUUUACACACUAUAAUGUCAAGUGAAGUUAGCAAAUGAGGGUCAAACGGAUUGAAAUACAGCGUCUGACUCUUCCGUGUCUUUCCCUCAAAAGAUAAAAGCAACAAGGACUUCUCAGGAGAUAUGCUGCCACUUGGAGAAUGCAUUUGUUAGCCGACCCAGCUUUCCAGUCACGGGGCAGUAUGAGUCUUUCUGUUUGUGAUGUCCCAGGAUAAAGGCCUCUGGGGUCAGCAAUGAGAUUAUUUCAGAGGAAUUAAUCGAAAUGGAUCUGGAAGUAAAAAAUUAGUAAGGUAUACUUAAAGAGCACCAAACUCACCCAUGUUUCUGUAUUUAGUAUCCUCUUGAUAACAGUUAAAGGUCAUUUCCCUUCUCACCUAGAAUAUCUUUAUAGUUCUGUGGUUGUUUUUUUUGGUUUUUUUUAGCUACAUGGGAUUUUAUCAUCUUUUUCACUCUUUAAACAUUGUCAGCUAGUGCUAGCCCGUCUUCACAGUUAAUUGUAUUCUAAUCUACCCAAUUAGUCCCCUAUUCCCACAAAGACUUACACAUGUGGUUAAUUUAAAGUUUAUCACAAGUGUGAAACUCUUCUGUGCCUGAGCUUCCCUCCUUCUAAUGAGUGAAAAAACAAAUGCUUUCCUUCCUCAAAUCCCUCCUCGAGAGCCAUAGCUUUCUCUCAGCCUUUCAUCGUUAAUCUCAGCUCUAGUGUUAUGCACUAUCUCACCCAUGCCCAAUUAUUAAACAUAAUAAAACAAAGUGAAAAACAAAUCCAAAAUAACAGCCAAAGGGAAUCAAAUUACCUGAUCUCUGUACUUUGUAAAUAAUGUUUCUUUCAUGAAACAAAUUUGCUUUCUUUUGCUUUCUGUCAUUUCCUUUCCUCUUUCACCUCCUCUCUGACCCUUCUUAGCCUGUGUCAUAAUUCAUUGUGUUAUCUGUCUUGUAAGCAUCUUAAGGCAGAGGCUUCAUCAUCUCAGUAGUCUGCACAGCACCACACACCUCCAGAAGAGCAUAUAAAUAUUAAUAAACACAUAUUCACAUUCAAUAAAAUCAAAAGCUCUGUUUUUUGGAAUCAAUAACCUCUUCUCUUUGGGUAUGAAACAGCAGUAAUCCAUGGCCAUGGGCUUUAAUCCUUCUGAGAAGUACUUUCUAAUGGGACUUUCAUGAGCGGUAUAAAGAACACAAAUGACUGUACAGCACAGCUGGUAAAGCGCUGGUUUCUGCAUGAGAAUUGUUUAUUGGCUUCAACCCACAAGGAAAAAAUGCAGUCCCCUGCUGCCCCUCAGCCCACUCCCAACAAUGUUAAAUAAACACUACUUGGAAAAGAGUUUUUUCUAACUGGCCUUCCAAAUAUUUGGAUCCUCUUAGCUGUCAUUUCUCCCUUUCUCAGCAAUCCCCUCAAUUAAAACAUUGUUAAAAUACUACAGAAAUGAUAAUAAAACUAUUGCAAAAA